CCUACGGGUGGCAGCAGUGGGGAAUAUUGGGCAAUGGGCGCAAGCCUGACCCAGCAACGCCGCGUGAAGGAAGAAGGCUUUCGGGUUGUAAACUUCUUUUAAGAGGGAAGAGCAGAAGACGGUACCUCUUGAAUAAGCCACGGCUAACUCCGUGCCAGCAGCCGCGGUAAUACGGAGGAUGCGAGCGUUAUCCGGAUUUAUUGGGUUUAAAGGGUGCGGAGGCGGAAUGCCAAGUCAGCGGUAAAAUCGCGGGGCUCAACCUCGCUCCGCCGUUGAAACUGGCGUUCUUGAGUGGGCGAGAAGUAUGCGGAAUGCGUGGUGGAGCGGUGAAAUGCAUAGAUAUCACGCAGAACUCAGAUUGCGAAGGCAGCAUACCGGCGCCCAACUGACGCUGAAGCACGAAAGCGUGGGUAUCGAACAGGAUUAGAUACCCGGGUAGUC
rnacentral:rRNA from 1 species